AUUGAACGCUGGCGGCAUGCUUUACACAUGCAAGUCGAACGGUAACAGGGAGCUUGCUCCGCUGACGAGUGGCGAACGGGUGAGUAAUAUAUCGGAACGUACCCAAGAGUGGGGGAUAACGUAGCGAAAGAUACGCUAAUACCGCAUACGAUCUACGGAUGAAAGCAGGGGACCUUCGGGCCUUGUGCUCCUGGAGCGGCCGAUAUCUGAUUAGCUAGUUGGUGAGGUAAAGGCUCACCAAGGCGACGAUCAGUAGCUGGUCUGAGAGGACGACCAGCCACACUGGAACUGAGACACGGUCCAGACUCCUACGGGAGGCAGCAGUGGGGAAUUUUGGACAAUGGGCGCAAGCCUGAUCCAGCAAUGCCGCGUGAGUGAAGAAGGCCUUCGGGUUGUAAAGCUCUUUUGUCAGGGAAGAAACGGGAUUGGCUAAUAUCCAGUCCUAAUGACGGUACCUGAAGAAUAAGCACCGGCUAACUACGUG
rnacentral:rRNA from 1 species